ACGCUCGACACCUACGGAGGCAGCAGUUGGGAAUAUUGGACAAUGGAGGAAACUCUGAUCCAGUGACGCCGCGUGAAGGAAGAAGGUCUUCGGAUUGUAAACUUAUUUUGUCAGGGAAGAAAAAAUGACUGUACCUGAAGAAAAAGACACCGGCUAACUACGUGCCAGCAGCCGCGGUAAUCUGAGCGGGCUGGCAAGGC
rnacentral:rRNA from 1 species